UCUGGUACCUCUCGGUGCCCGAGUUGUAAUUUGAAGAAAGCUAUCUUGGAGGUGGCCUUUGUCCAUGUUCUUUGAUACAAGACGUCAUGGAGGGUGAGAAUCCCGUGUGAUGAGGUGUCCAUUUCCGUGUAAGAUGCUUUCGAAGAGUCGAGUUGUUUGGGAAUGCAGCUCAAAGUGGGUGGUAAAUUCCAUCUAAAGCUAAAUAUUGGCGAGAGACCGAUAGCGAACAAGUACUGUGAAGGAAAGAUGAAAAGAACUUUGAAAAGAGAGUGAAAAAGUACGUGAAAUUGUUGAAAGGGAAGGGUAUUUGAUCAGACUUGGUAUUUAGCUAUCAUCGCUCCUUGUGGGUGGUGCUCUAGCUUUUUACUGGGCCAGCAUCAGUUUUGGUGGCAAGAUAAUGACAGUUGAAUGUGGCUCCUCGGAGUGUUAUAGCUUCUGUUGAUGUUGCCUACCGAGACUGAGGUCUGCGGCUUUUGCCUAGGAUGCUGGCGUAAUGAUCCAAUACCGCCCGUCUUGA
rnacentral:rRNA from 1 species